UCAAGCUACAAAGAGCACAAGGGGAAUGCCUUGGCACCGAGAGCCGAAGAAGGACGUGACUAACUGCGAUAAGCUGCGGGGAGCCGUAAGUAGGCUUUGAUCCGCAGAUUUCCGAAUGGAGCAAUCCGGCAAGAGGAAAGUCUUGUCAUCAUAUACUGAAUACAUAGGUAUAUGAGGGGAACCGCCUGAACUGAAACAUCUAAGUAGGGCGAGGAAGAGAAAUCAACUGAGAUUCCGUAAGUAGUGGCGAGCGAACGCGGAAGAGGCCAAACCGAGAGUAGUAAUACUUUCGGGGUUCGGACAGAAUACGGUAUUGUAAAGGUUUAGUGGAAUGGAAUGGGAAGUCCAACCGAAGAAGGUGAGAGUCCUGUACACGAAAAGCCUGAACAGCCAUCUGUAUCCAGAGUACCGCCGGACACGUGAAACCCGGUGGGAAUACGGGGGGACCAUCCUCCAAGCCUAAAUACUACUCGGUGACCGAUAGUGAAGAAGUACUGUGAAGGAAAGGUGAAAAGUACCCCUGACGGGGAGUGAAAAAGAACCUGAAACCUUGUGUUUACAAGCACCGAAAGCUCAUCAAAGAGCGAUCGGGUACCUUUUGUAGAAUGGUCCGGCGAGUGAAUGUAACCGGCGAGGUUAAGCACUUAAGGUGUGAAGCCGCAGCGAGAGCAAGUCUGAAUAGGGCGUAUGAAGUCGGUUGUAUUCGACCCGAAACCGGGUGACCUACCCAUGGUCAGGUUGAAGUAAAGGUAAAACUUUAUGGAGGACCGAACCGACUCCCGUUGAAAUGGUAGCGGAUGAACUGUGGGUAGCGGAGAAAUUCCAAUCGAACCCGGAGAUAGCUGGUUCUCUCCGAAAUAGCUUUAGGGCUAGCCUUGAAAUAGAUUACCGGAGGUAAAGCACUGAAUUGGCUAGGGGCCGAGAGGUUACUGAACCUUAUCAAACUAAGAAUGCCGGAUAAUCGUUUUUCAGGAGUCAGACAGUGGGAGAUAAGUUUCAUUGUCAAAAGGGAAACAGCCCAGACCCACAGCUAAGGUCCCCAAGUAUAGUUAAGUGGAAAAGGAUGUGGAAUUGCACAGACAACCAGGAUGUUGGCUUAGAAGCAGCCACUCAUUAAAAGAGUGCGUAAUAGCUCACUGGUCGAGUGAAGUGAGAAUCUUAAUGGCCGAAAGUCUAAGGUUUUUGGAGGAAGGUUCGUCCGCUCCAAGUAAGUCGGGAGCUAAGGUCAGGCCGAAAGGCGUAGCCGAUGCACAUACGGUUGAUAUUCCGUAACCAUCUGUAAUUUAAGCAAAGGGACACUUCAAAAGGGUGUGACCCGGGCGUUGGUUGACCCGGGCGUAAGGGACCGAAAUUAGAGUAGGGAAGCACACUUAGCUGAAGGCGAGAAAAGCUUUGCGUAUAGAAGCAGAUGCCCGUACCGCAAACCGACACAGGUGGACAGGAAGAGAAUUCUAAGGCCAGCGGGAGAAGGGUAGUUAAGGAACUCGGCAAAUUGACUCCGUAACUUCGGAAUAAGGAGUGCUCGAAAGAGCCGCAGAGAAUAGGCCCAGGCGACUGUUUAGCAAAAACACAGGUCUCUGCCAAAUCGAAAGAUGAAGUAUAGGGGCUGACACCUGCCCGGUGCCGGAAGGUUAAGAGGAGGAGUGAGAGCUCCGAAUUGAAGCCCCGGUAAACGGCGGCCGUAACUAUAACGGUCCUAAGGUAGCGAAAUUCCUUGUCGGGUAAGUUCCGACCCGCACGAAUGGUGUAACGAUCUGGGCACUGUCU
rnacentral:rRNA from 1 species